rnacentral:rRNA from 1 species
AGUGAACGCUGGCGGUAGGCCUAACACAUGCAAGUCGAACGGCAGCACAGUAAGAGCUUGCUCUUACGGGUGGCGAGUGGCGGACGGGUGAGGAAUACAUCGGAAUCUACUUUUUCGUGGGGGAUAACGUAGGGAAACUUACGCUAAUACCGCAUACGACCUACGGGUGAAAGCAGGGGAUCUUCGGACCUUGCGCGAUUGAAUGAGCCGAUGUCGGAUUAGCUAGUUGGCGGGGUAAAGGCCCACCAAGGCGACGAUCCGUAGCUGGUCUGAGGGGAUGAUCAGCCACACUGGAACUGAGACACGGUCCAGACUCCUACGGGAGGCAGCAGUGGGGAAUAUUGGACAAUGGGCGCAAGCCUGAUCCAGCCAUACCGCGUGGGUGAAGAAGGCCUUCGGGUUGUAAAGCCCUUUUGUUGGGAAAGAAAAGCAGCAGGUUAAUACCCCGCUGUUCUGACGGUACCCAAAGAAUAAGCACCGGCUAACUUCAUG